ensembl:lncRNA
GGCUAGUUCCCAUACGUUUUGGAGUGCAGACGGUGGACCCAGUGACAGGGGUGCUGGCUCCGGUUGUGGGGGCCAGUCUGGAUGUUUGGAAGUGGACUGUGGUUCCUGUAACUGUGUCUCAGAUUCUGACAUUAGGAGAGAACCCUGACAGUGUCACAGUGAGCGAAGUUGAACUAAAUCACAUCCGCAUAAAAGCUCAUUUGGCUUCGGGGAGUUUAUGUGAGUGCAAAUGUGUGUUUGUUGGCCUCAGGUGGAAGCCCUCCAGAAGGAGAGCAAUGUACGGGGCAAUUACUGGCGUGAGCAGACACUGAAGGAAGAGGAGAUGGUGGGAGAUUUUGGCAGAGCCAUUAAACACUAUCUCUCCACGUCCGUACACAAGUCUGACUGUGUGAGUUGACUCCACACAGAUGACACUACGCUCUGUGGCCUAUUUAAAAUGCAAGUCUUUUGACCAAGUGUCUAUUUUUAUUUUUGUGAGUGUCAGUGUGAUGGGAAGCGUUUCCACCAACCUUGCAUCCUGAAUGAGAUUCUGUGCAUGUUCGUGUGUGUGCGCGAAACAGAUAGACUGGAUGGACACAGACAGGCAGCUCAGGGAGACCGCCGCAGAGAUUCAGGAAAGUGCUCAGUGAGACGAGGAGGAGUGGGAGCAGCAGUGUUACUGGCACACCAAGCUUAAGGCCGUGCUGAAUGUAGUGAGUGUGUCCAUGGAGAGACUGGGGAUCGGCUGUCGGCACAGGAAACACAGCAUCUGGAUGGAGAACUGAGGGAGCAGGAACUGUGGGAGCAAUUAAUGCAGAGACAAGCAGAGCUCGAUGCUGUGAUUUCGUCUCUCCUCUGUUCUCGUCAGGUCUGCCAGCUGCGUGCUGACACCACACAGUCUUUGGUUUCUGGCACAUUCUGGAAUAAGGAUUUUGGUGUGCUGCAGCCCAAGGGUGUCAGAAACCCUCUGAAAUUAAUAUCCAUGAAUCAGCAGAAAAUCCCUCCUUGGCUUGAACGACUUUUUCAGCUGUUGGAGGAAACCAAAACACUUGGCCAGUCGACCAGCACACAGCGGCAGCAGAGCUCUGGUACAAUAUCUUCAUUUAUGUUUUAUUAUAGAAACAUUAACCAUGCUUUUUUCGAAAUGUUUGCGAAAAUGGUUACAAAAUAUUUCUCAAAAGGUAAGCAGGUGUUCGGCCGAGACAGCACUUCCAGAAUGUGGACCAAAUCUGCGUCUGUUGUAAAAGGUAUCUCAACUCAGUCCUUUAAAGAUCAAAUGAAGGCUCCGUCUGCGAGUGAACAGAAUGCCAUGGUGCCCUCUCUUCCUCUGUCAAACACAUCUUACACUCAGAAAAGCCAGGAAAAAAACACAGCUGAACCACAGCCGGGGUGA